AAGAUUAUAUUUAAUAUCCACUUUUAAUAAUCUUAAUUCAAUAAAUUGAGCAACACAAAACUCAGGAAUAUUUUUUCCUAUUUAAAAGAAUGUGCUUAAAUAGCAUUCGCUGACAGAUAGCUACUUCAGUAGAUAAAAUAUCCUUUUAAUAUAAUGCCAGACUCUUCACGCCCCACCCCCAACCAACUCUCCAUGAUCCUGUGCAGUAGCUCACCAUCCUCACUUGCUUUGGGCAAAAAUGACUCAUAGUUCAGGUGCUAAGGAAACUGUUCAUUCUAUUGCAUAUAUGUACAUGGAAUUAUUAAUUAAGCCAAGUCUUUGUGCAUGCAUUGGAAACUUAAUUAGCAGAGUGGAUUUUUGAAACAAAUUAUUUCUUCAAAUCACCUAGUCCAUAAUAGUAUUUUUCCCUCUGGGCUACAAUUUGAAGAAUUUUAAUCAUAUCCUUUUCUCAGGCCUCUUUUCAUUAAGCAAACUAUUUAUAUGAAAUACUUGGCAAGCCAGAACAAAUCCCACAUUAUUCUUAGCAAAUCAACAACAACAAAAUCCCUUUAAAUACGUAGUUAAUGUAUCCCAACAUUUGUAAAUCCAAAGUUCGUGCUUGGGGUAUAUGUGUGUGUUUCCAAAUUCAAAGGCCUAAACGUGAUGUGCUUUUCAAUGAAAAAAUUUCAGGUCAGAAAGAAAGUAGGAAGAAACUAGAAACCAUUGGAAGAUGGGAAAAUAUCUUCAAUUUCAAAUUUCUCUUCCCUCUACAGUUUCUUUUUCAUCUAUGAUGUGGUUGAAAGAACGUUGCCAGGAGAGCUUAGACAAAGAGAUGUCCUCCUGUCUCCUCCACUCACUGGACGUGUCCUUGGUUACAUAGAGGAUGUUAUCCAGGUCUGUACUGCCUCAGGUACACCAUAUUAAGAGUUUGAAUAAUACAAUUUCUCAGUGUCUAGAGUUCUAUGAGUCUCAGAUGCUCACUGCUUUCUGCAUUGUGAACAUGAUUUUAUCUAUCAAAAUAGCUUUAUCUCAGAUAAUAAUGCUUUGUACAGAUGAAUAGAGGAGUAGUGUCUAUAAAGAAACUGAAUUGCUCACUUGUUCUCUGCUUCUUGCCUUUGUCUUAUGACUUACAGGUUAAGAAUGGUGUUUGGGCCAUUGCCUCCUUAUGCCUGGUUACCCUUUCCCUCCUGCACACAUAGGAACCAGCCCUUCCUGCCCCCUGACACAUAGGCUGAGUCAGUGAGAAACCUCUUUCCCUGCCCCCUAAAAGGUCCUGUGUUGUGACAAUAAAACCACAAGAUUUUGAAGAAGGCUGCACCUCUGCAACCUCUGCAUUGAACUGCAUGAAGCACAGUCACUCAUCACCAGGCCUACAGUGGGCUGACUCUACAUGAAGAUGCACAUCCAGAGAUUCAUUUUCCUCGCCCCGGGUCUGUGGAGUUAUAAAGAAGGAAGUAAUUAAGCAUCUUGUUGUUGAACGGUCAAGAGGGAAAUGACACUGAAGACAAGGUCUUGCUCUGUUGCCCAUAGCUCACGGCAACCUGGAACACAUGGGCUCAAGCCAUCUUCCUGUCUCAGCUUCUCAAGUAGCUGGAAUUACAGGUAUGUGCCACUCUGCCUGGCUGCAUUAUUAUUUCUCUAUAUAUACUUUUCCAGAAGUAUUCCUACCUAAUACCAGAAAUUAUUCUAUGUACAAUAAGAAAU